AUGUACAUCGAUGUUAUUAACUCGACUGUCGUUCCUAGUUCCAAACAUGUUUGGAAAGUAAAAGUUCCUUUGAAAAUUAAAGUGUUUAUGUGGUUUGUCCAUAAACAGGUUAUUUUAACAAAGGACAACUUGGUUAAGCGCAAUUGGACAGGAUCUACUAGGUGUAGUUUCUGUGAUCAGGACGAGACCAUUAAGCAUCUCUUCUUUGACUGUCCGUUGGCGAGAAUUCUGUGGCGCACCGUGCAAAUUGCCUUUAACAUUACUCCUCCGAGUUCUGUCGGGUCGUUAUUUGGAACGUGGCUGGAUGGGAUAGAGUCUGAUACAGCUAGACAUAUUCGUGUAGGAGUUUGUGCGUUGUUAUGGGCAAUUUGGAACUGCAGAAAUGAUUUGGCUUUUAACAGAAUAACUACUAUUCAUUUUUUGCAGGUUGUAUUCCGUGCUACGGCGCUGAUCCGUAUGUGGUCCUUACUCACUCCGACGGAGGCCAGGGAGCAUUUGGUUACUGGAUCUGUCCAGUGGGAGAUGGUAGCGCGGGAUAUCUUCAACCGGUUUGGAUGGCGGUCAUGUAAUAGGAUAGGCAAUUAG
rnacentral:rRNA from 1 species